GAUGAACGCUAGCGAUAGGCUUAACACAUGCAGGUCGAGGGGCAGCAUGGUCUUAGCUUGCUAAGACUGAUGGCGACCGGCGCACGGGUGCGUAACGCGUAUGCAACUUGCCUCACAGAGGGGGAUAACCCGUCGAAAGACGGACUAAUACCGCGUACACUUGGGAUAGGGCAUCCUGACCCAAGGAAAUGAAAUUCGCUGUGAGAUAGGCAUGCGUCCCAUUAGCUAGUUGGUGAGGUAACGGCUCACCAAGGCGACGAUGGGUAGGGGAACUGAGAGGUUGAACCCCCACACUGGUACUGAGACACGGACCAGACUCCUACGGGAGGCAGCAGUGAGGAAUAUUGGUCAAUGGGCGAGAGCCUGAACCAGCCAAGUCGCGUGAAGGAUGACUGUCUUAUGGAUUGUAAACUUCUUUUAUACGGGAAUAACAAGAGCCACGUGUGGCUCCCUGCAUGUACCGUAUGAAUAAGCAUCGGCUAACUCCGUG
rnacentral:rRNA from 1 species